CUCAACCUGGGAAUUGCAUUCGAUACUGCCUGACUAGAGUGUGGUAGAGGGAAGUGGAAUUCCGCAUGUAGCGGUGAAAUGCGUAGAGAUGCGGAGGAACACCAAUGGCGAAGGCAACUUCCUGGAUCAACACUGACACUGAGGUGCGAAAGCGUGGGUAGCAAACAGGAUUAGAUACCCUGGUAGUCCACGCCGUAAACGAUGUCAACUAGCCGUUGGGGGCGUUUGGCCCCUAGUGGCGCAGCUAACGCGAUAAGUUGACCGCCUGGGGAGUACGGCCGCAAGGUUAAAACUCAAAGGAAUUGACGGGGGCCCGCACAAGCGGUGGAGCAUGUGGUUUAAUUCGAUGCAACGCGAAGAACCUUACCUGCCCUUGACAUCCUGGGAACUCUCUGGAGACAGGGAGGUGCCUUCGGGAGCCC
rnacentral:rRNA from 1 species